rnacentral:rRNA from 1 species
CCUACGGGAGGCAGCAGUGGGGAAUUUUGGACAAUGGGCGCAAGCCUGAUCCAGCAAUGCCGCGUGAGUGAAGAAGGCCUUCGGGUUGUAAAGCUCUUUUGUCAGGGAAGAAACGGUGGGGGCUAAUAUCUCCUGCUAAUGACGGUACCUGAAGAAUAAGCACCGGCUAACUACGUGCCAGCAGCCGCGGUAAUACGUAGGGUGCAAGCGUUAAUCGGAAUUACUGGGCGUAAAGCGUGCGCAGGCGGUUUUGUAAGUUUGUCGUGAAAUCCCCGGGCUCAACCUGGGAAUGGCGAUGAAGACUGCAAGGCUAGAAUCUGGCAGAGGGGGGUAGAAUUCCACGUGUAGCAGUGAAAUGCGUAGAGAUGUGGAGGAACACCGAUGGCGAAGGCAGCCCCCUGGGUCAAGAUUGACGCUCAUGCACGAAAGCGUGGGGAGCAAACAGGAUUAGACUACCCUGGUAGUCCACGCCCUAAACGAUGUCUACUAGUUGUCGGGUUUUAAUUAACUUGGUAACGCAGCUACGCGUGAGUAGACCGCCGUCGGGUAGGUACGGUCGCGAGAAGUUAAAACGUAACAAUAGUAAGUUAGUACGGACGUGAGACGUGCCGACGGACGACGACGAGGGAGGAGG